rnacentral:lncRNA from 1 species
AUGCGUGCAGAGGUGAAUAUGUCUGUGAAGAUAAUCCCUCGUCAUGCACAAUCAUGUGAAAGCAUCAAGAAUGUCGAUGCUUUAGUAUGGUGUCGAUAUGAUCAAAUUACACAAUAGCAUUACUUAUGCUCAUGUCAUAACCUUGUCUAGCUAGCUAGUUGCCUAUGUUGAAAUGUUGGGGUCAGUUUUGGCUGCAUUUUGGGUCUUCUUUCAUCGUUAUUAAGAUUUUUGUGAUACAAUAAGGUUGUUGAUCGGGAACCAUGGUUGUUAAAAUCAUGUUUUGACUCGUAAAAUCAUAUAAUUUUACAAAUCAAAACAUGUAUUACGAGUUGAAUCGCUUGAAAAAAUCGAAAAUGGAUAAAAUCGAGUUGAAAUCAAGUGAAAUCGCAAAAAUCGGAUGAAAUCGCGCAAAAUCGCGAUUUCAGGACCGAUUUUAUGAUUUUGACAAAAUUAGGUGCUGAAACAAAAUUCACCCCUCAUAUCCAGCUGUCAGAAACCAUUUGGAUUUUUCUUGCACAGUCACGGACUGUCUUCACUUUUUUCUUGCACUGAUUUUUCUUCCACUGUCUUCACUCUUCACUUCAGUCUUCUGGCGAAACCGCGAAAGUACUAACAAUUCUUGCACAGUCCCCUGAUCGUUCUCCUGUUUUCUGGUUUUUUCUAUGUGUUUUGCUUGCGUUCCCCUUCCUAACCGGUAGAAAACCCAGGCUAUAAAAUUAGCAAGCAAACAAGAUGGAGAAGGUAAAGCUAAUUGACAAGCUAUCACACUGUACGUACUUCAACAAUGGAAUUGAAAAGAACAGGCUAUGAUCUGUGACUAGAUGGAAGUAAUAAACACUAGGGAUCGCCUCUUGAAAUUAUUCAAAUGAUCUUGAUCAUACGACAUGAACAAACAUUUCAGACUUGAAGUGCAUAGAAGAAGAAGAGCUCUAAAUCUGGAGGAGCAAAGAAAGCAAUUGGUCUCCUCUGCAAAGAGCAAAUCGAUAUCAUCCUUUGCUUCCUCGGCGCUGGUGGGCAUGUCUGAAUCUCUGGUAUCCGAAAUCUCUCAGCUUUUGGAGUAGAGCAUGCACUCGUGGAGAUAUCAACACCCUCGAAAUCCAAGCCAUUGAUCCUUGAAUAGUCAUCACAGCUCGUGGAGAAGUUAGAAGGAAAAUCCUGUUCAAUUGUAGUUGAUGCCUCUUUAAUGCUCUUCGGCUUCACAACUGCUCUUUUAUACUGGGUUUUUCUCCUUGUUCUUGUUCUUGCUCUUUGGUGUUUCUGCAAUUCAACCUCCAAUUUCUUUAAUUAAUUAAAUCAAAGUUUAAUUAAGUUCUCAAACUAAUCAAUUUUUUAAUUAAACUCAUGAUUUUAUUAAUUGAACUAAUCCAAAUUUUAAUUAAAUUCUCAAAGUUAUUAAUUCUUCAAUUUCAAACCAAUUGACUCUCAAAUUUUAUUUGAAUCAUGUAUUUUAAGAUGCUUGAACUAUAUAUAAAUUUUUAUUUGACGACUUGAAAUAUGUAUAAAUUUUUAUUUGAAACAUAAUUUUUUUUAAUGUAUUUUAAAAUUCUUUACGAUUUUACGAUCUGUUUUUACGAUCCGAGUUUGUAAACGACUUUUCGUGUCAUGUUAAAAUCGCGAUUUUAACAAUUUUGGUGGGAACAAUCUUUUAUUACAAGAGAUGUUAAGAUUUUUAAUAAAUUAAUAUAAGGGAUUUUAAAAGCUCCAUAAUCAUUGCUAUUUGUAUAGUGAUAGUGCAUCUCAACAUCUCCUUUCCAUUCAUUUUCUUAAAUUUCUGACAGUAACUGGUCGAUGGCUUUUGUUUGUAAACGUUACCAAGCUUCGCUGUCAGAAAUUUAGGUCAUGCAUAAUCCAUUUAGAUAAUGGGAUGUGGACUACCAUGAUCCUAUCAUUGUUCUUGGCGAUAAGAAUUCUCCCUUGAAUUUAUCACAGAAUUAUUGAAGUGAGCAGUUCCCUUCCUUCUCGUGAUUUGUUGACAUGAGAUUAUGUAAAGUUGUCGACUAGGAAAUUUAUAUGAGUUGCUCUCUAGACACUAUUAUUAUUGAUUAAAAGAGUGAAAUUCUUGUGCAAUUCAUAAUGAAAAAUAUGGGAUUCCUAUUCUCUCACGUUUUAUAUAAAUGUUCUAUGGGUUAGAAGGUUUAUCAUGUCAAUUUAUAGAUCAUUGGAUCAAUUCAGAUGUAUCAUAAAAUAAUAUUGUUUUUGUUAAAAAAGUUGGAAAGGAUAUAUCAAUUGAAUUUUUUUUUUUUAAAUCCAAGUAAUUUACCAAGUUGAGGUUAAUCAAGUCAACAUCCACUCCAAUUAAAUAUAAAACUUGGUUUGUGUUAGAUUCUAUAUCGACUAUGAUUAUAUAAUAAGAUUCCCAAUGAUUUUUUUUUUUUAUAUAUUUGUUGGUUUAAAUAAUUCUACUGGAAUGAAAGAAUAUAAUCAGAUUUAUUUACAUGAAAUAUGAUUUUUUUUUGUACUUAUUGGUACAAAUAAGUCUAUUACAAAUAAUUCUCAAUUUAUUUAAUUGAAUGAAUAAAUAAUUUUUUUUUAUUUAUAAUCAGAUUUUUUUACAUUAAAAAAUAUAAUGAAAAAACAUGUUUAUUCAUUUUGUUUUCUACUAGAAAGAAUAAUAUUUGAUCCAAAGCAAAGCAAUAUGUGUCGCUUGCACCCUGUUUUAGCCUCUAAGCUUCGAGGCAGUCGUGGUAUAGCCAUGUAAGUUAAUACGCCCUGUAAAACAUGGGCUAAGCUCAAUAUUAAUGAAACCUAGUUUGUCAUUCAGAAAACAUAGAUAAUGGACUCAUGACCUGUAGAGUAGAGGCUCAAAUUUCAAAUUAGAUUCAUGUGAUUAUUGUUGGCAUGAGCUGUACAAACCUACACACAAUAGGAAACUAUAGAUGUAAUAUUCUAGUAUAUCUUAUAUUUAUGUAAAUCCCGAUUGUUAUGGGAUAGUAUUUGAUUUCUUUCCAAAGACAGCUAGUAGAGGCAGCAGCUGCAUAGUAUAUGUAAAGAGCAAGUAUCAGAAAUAAAGAAAGACAGAAUUCUUGAAUGAAAUCUCGUCAGGUUUACAUGGUAUCAGAGCCGAGAUCCUUUGUCUGAUCUCUGCUAGCAACAUCUGACAAUAGAGGUGAUGGCAACACCAACCGGCUUGGUUGAACCAGAGCAACCUAAUACAACUGAAAACCUUGAAGAUCUUAUGGCAAGAGUGAAUCAAGCCAUAAACCAGAAUCAGACUCCAGCAGUAAUGCAGGAUAUAACUGCAACACAGAUUGGUAUAAAAUUGGAUGGUACCAAUUAUGCUUUGUGGUCCCAGAUUGUUGAGAUGUUUAUCUCAGGAAAAGACAAGCUAGGGUAUAUAAAUGGUGACUUUCCACAACCAGAACCGGCUGCUCCUUCAUUCAGGAGAUGGAGGACAGAGAACUCUGUCGUGAAGGGAUGGUUAAUUGGCUCAAUGAAUCCAUCAUUAGUUAGUAACUUCAUUCGAUUUCCCACGGCAAAACAGGUAUGGGAUUCAAUUGCUACAACCUAUUUUGAUGGAACUGAUGCUUCCCAAGUUUAUGAUUUGAAGAGACGGGUGACUAGAAUGAAGUAAUCUGGAGAACCAAUUGAGACAUAUUACAACUGUCUCCAAGGCGUCUGGAGGGAGAUUGAUUUUCGCCGCCCGAACCCGAUGGAAUGUGUUCAUGACAUACAGAAAUAUAACACUCUCUUGCAAGAGGAUAAAGUGUAUACUUUCCUUGAUGGAUUAGAUGACAGGCUUGACAAGAUCAGAAGCGACGUUCUUCAACUAAAACCAUUCCCAUUUGUGGAACAGGCGUAUGCAUAUGUUAGAAGGGAAGAUAUCAGGCAGACAAUCAUGCUGUCAAAUAAUGGAACCAUUCCAGCCGCUGCUAUGAUCUCGAGAGGAAUGAGAAAUAGUUCACAGAAUCAGUUUACACUUCAGGUGGCCAAACCAGGGAAUUCUUCAUCACAUGGGGGAAAAUUGAAUUUUUCAAAGGCUAAAGGACAAACCGAAGGAGGAAGUCACGGAUGCUCUUACUGUGGGAACAUGAAACAUACCCGUGAAACAUGUUUUAAGUUGCAUGGUUACCCAGAAUGGUGGACAGAACUUAAGGCACGAAAGUCCAAAGAGUCUGCUGGUGGAACUGGACGAGCAGCCAUGGUUAAUGCAGAUUGUGCUUUUACAGGAGGAACAACCACGGAUAAGGGAGAACAACUUGUGACUAAAGAACCAGAACUUUCCCUUGCUCCACUGGUGAAUUCAAAUGAACUCAUGACUGCCCCUCCUGGUAAUCAAGGUAACAACAAUAGUGCCUUACUUGUUUCUAAAGGAGGCAAUAAUAAUGACUGGAUAGUGGACUCAGGAGCCACUGAUCAUAUGACAUUUUGUCUGGAGGAUAUUGUGAAAUUGACAGAACCAAGGCGGACUAAUAUACUCAACGCCAAUGGAGUUAUGUAUCCAGUUACAGGAGCUGGAACCGUAGACAUAUCUCCAUCAAUUUCAUUGCCUAAUACUCUAUUAGUACCAUAUAUGUCUAGUAAACUAUUAUCUGUGGGUCAAGCCACCGAAGAGCUCAACUGUGUAGCACUAAUGUAUCCACAAUUGUCUUUUUCAGGAUAUUCUCACAAAGGAGAUCAUUGGGCAUGGUACUAAGAGAGAGGGGUUAUACUACAUGGACGACUUCAGUUCAGGCAGAGUUAAUACUGUGAGUCGCACAUUUAGUGCAAGCAAAGAACAGAUUUGGCUAUGGCAUUAUCGAUUAGGACAUCCCUCAUUUAGCUACAUGAAGCAUUUAUUUCCACAGUUAUUUUCAACUUUGAGACAUUCAAAUUUCAGAUGUGAGACUUGCAUUUUUGCCAAAAGUCAUCGUGUACCGUUUCCAAUCAGUUUUAAUAAAAGUGAUAUUCCUUUUAUUCUAAUCCACUCUGAUGUUUGGGGACCUUCCCCUAUUACAAUUGUUUCGGGUAUACGAUGGUUUGUGACCUUUGUAGAUGAUUGUACACGGAUGACUUGGCUAUAC